AACGAACGCUGGCGGCAUGCCUAAUACAUGCAAGUCGAACGAGAUCUUCGGAUCUAGUGGCGCACGGGUGCGUAACGCGUGGGAAUCUGCCCUUGGGUUCGGAAUAACGUCGGGAAACUGACGCUAAUACCGGAUGAUGACGUAAGUCCAAGGAUUUAUCGCCCAAGGAUGAGCCCGCGUAGGAUUAGCUAGUUGGUGAGGUAAAGGCUCACCAAGGCGACGAUCCUUAGCUGGUCUGAGAGGAUGAUCAGCCACACUGGGACUGAGACACAGCCCAGACUCCUACGGGAGGCAGCAGUAGGGAAUAUUGGACAAUGGGGGCAACCCUGAUCCAGCAAUGCCGCGUGAGUGAUGAAGGCCUUAGGGUUGUAAAGCUCUUUUACCCGGGAUGAUAAUGACAGUACCGGGAGAAUAAGCCCCGGCUAACUCCGUGCCAGCCGCCGCGGUAA
rnacentral:rRNA from 1 species